rnacentral:rRNA from 1 species
AGUGAACGCUGGCGGUAGGCCUAACACAUGCAAGUCGAACGGCAGCACAGGAGAGCUUGCUCUCUGGGUGGCGAGUGGCGGACGGGUGAGGAAUACAUCGGAAUCUACCUUUUCGUGGGGAUAACGUAGGGAAACUUACGCUAAUACCGCAUACGACCUACGGGUGAAAGUGGGGGACCGCAAGGGCUCACGCGAUUAUAUGAGCCGAUGUCCGAUUAGCUAGUUGGCGGGGUAAUGGCCCACCAAGGCGACGAUCGGUAGCUGGUCUGAGGGGAUGAUCAGCCACACUGGAACUGAGACACGGUCCAGACUCCUACGGGAGGCAGCAGUGGGGAAUAUUGGACAAUGGGCGCAAGCCUGAUCCAGCCAUACCGCGUGGGUGAAGAAGGCCUUCGGGUUGUAAAGCCCUUUUGUUGGGAAAGAAAUCCUGUCGAUUAAUACUCGGUGGGGAUGACGGUACCCAAAGAAUAAGCACCGGCUAACUUCGUGCCAGCAGCCGCGGUAACAC